GCGGGUGUGGCGGAGCUGGCAGACGCAGAGGACUUAAAAUCCUUGGGGCCGCGAGGCCCGUGUGGGUUCGAACCCCACCACCCGCACCG
rnacentral:tRNA from 1 species